rnacentral:tRNA from 1 species
UGGAGAGUAGCUCAAGUGGCAGAGUUGCGCGCUGUUAACGCGUUGGUUGCAGGUUCGAGCCCUGCCUCUCCAGCCA